CUUUCUGUCCUCUAUAGCUACAACACUUAGACUCCACCCUGUGCUUGGUAGACAUCAUCACUAUUCUCCAGUAUUUAACAUUUCCCCCGCCAGGCACAUGGAAGACAAAUCUCUUGGUGAGUGGGCCCUGGAAUUCUCUACAGCCAAAAGGAAAAGUAUGAUGGUAAAAUGUCUAUGUGCCGGAGAUAUAACUCAGUAGCACACAUGCCUGCCUGGCAAACACAAGAUGCACUUCUGGCAGUGUGAGAUAAAGCAAUGGUCCUAUAAUCAGGGUUCUAAGAGGUGGGCCUGUGGAGACGUGAUCAUGGCACUACAGGUCUACCUUCACGGCUGCACACAGAAUGGUUUCCACCACCCCAGGCUCUUCUACUCGUCUGUCAUUUGAGAGCACCUAAAUGAUACCGUCCCUGAAUAAAAGACUUU